rnacentral:rRNA from 1 species
CCGCCCCUCACAUCGCGAAAGUGGAUUGUACUAGAAGUCCGUGAGCUGACCUUCGGGAGGCAGCGGCCCACGGUAUGAUCCGAUGAUUGGGGUG